AGAGCUGUGGAAGCAACAUGCAAGUGGUGCUUUCCAAGGGAGUCUUUCUUUGUGGAACUACAUAACUGAAAUGAAAAGCUGGUUUGGAUAGAGGGAA
rnacentral:lncRNA from 1 species